AAUAAAUGAAUUUCUGCGUUUUUUAGAAUGUUUGAGUUUUCGUCUUAUUUAAAAAAAUUUAUGAUUAAUAUUUUUAUUGUACUACAUAAUAAAAACAUGAAUAGUACUUUAUGUAUGACUAAUGUUUUUUUAACUUUUUAAUAAAUCUUUUAAAUAAGACGGAUGAUCAAACGCUCAACCAUAGAU
rnacentral:pre_miRNA from 1 species